GACAUAGGUGGCGAACGUUAUCCGGAAUUACUGGGCGUAAAGCGUGCGCAGGCGGUUCGCUAAGACAGAUGUGAAAUCCCCGGGCUUAACCUGGGAACUGCAUUUGUGACUGGCGGGCUAGAGUAUGGCAGAGGGGGGUAGAAUUCCACGUGUAGCAGUGAAAUGCGUAGAGAUGUGGAGGAAUACCGAUGGCGAAGGCAGCCCCCUGGGCCAAUACUGACGCUCAUGCACGAAAGCGUGGGGAGCAAACAGG
rnacentral:rRNA from 1 species